rnacentral:sRNA from 1 species
AGAGGCGGGGCGAGCACGCGCGGGGCGGAAGUCGGCCGCCUUUCUCCGUCGCGGCCCUUAGCCCAGCCAAGCCCACCCAAGCCCCGCCGACCACGGGCACCGGAGCCAGCCCCGCAGCGGGAAGCUGGAGAAACAGACCCUCUUGGCUGUCUGCUGUCCAGGGAGUCGCCGCUCCCUUCAUUACAGCCUUGUGCAGAGUGCAGCGGCAGGCCUGGGAAUGGCCUCGGGAGAAAAGCACAUCUCUCAGGAUCCUGAGAGAGCUUGAACCAGACCACUGUGGACACGGUGGCCACCCAUCACCACUACCCUUCCCAAGGGGAGAUGAGCAAGUAGGCUUGAGGGAAGAGCUGCACAGGACUCGUAUCUUGAAAUGUCUAAGACGCAUGUCAGAAAUGCAGGAGCCUAACCCAGAGGAAGUGGAGACUCCUUUACUGCACAUCUAUCUGCUCCAGGCCAGGCACUGUUCUAGGAGCUAGCAUACAGAGGUGGGGACAGAAACAAACAAACCGAUAACUGUAUACAAUACUCUAACGUCAG